GGAAACCACAUCUGUUCUUCUUGUUUGGACAAUGGUUGUAUUAAGUAUGCAUUCAGAAUGGCAAGUGCGUGCGAGGGAAGAAGUUUUACAAGUCUUUGGGAAGAACAAACCGGAUUUUGAUGGACUAAAUCACCUCAAAAUUGUUACCAUGAUUUUGUAUGAGGUUCUUAGAUUAUAUCCACCAGUGUUAUUUCUUAAUCGGUGUACAUACAAGAACAUAAAACUAGGAGAAAUAUCUCUACCCCCUGGAAUACAACUAAUUUUACCAAUACUCCAUUCUUCACCAUGAUCAAGAAGUAUGGGGUGAAGAUGCAAAAGAAUUCAAACCAGAGAGAUUUGCAGAAGGAAUCUGAAAAGCCACAAAGAAUCAAGUCUCAUUUUUCCCAUUUGGUUGGGGCCCUCGAAUAUGCAUUGGGCAACAAUUUGCAAUGACAGAAGCAAAGAUGGCUUUAGCAAUGAUUCUACAAAGAUUUACUUUUGAACUUUCUCCAUCAUAUGCUCAUGCUCCUACCAUUGUACUCGCUCUUCAUCCACAGUAUGGUGCUCAAAUCAUAUUACAUAAACUGUAGAAUCAUAUCUUCAUAAUCAUCAUUUCUUGGUGAUUUAAUUUAUCAUUCGAAAAUUUCAUUGUGAGUUAGUUACUUUGAUUGUUGAAUGUGUUUUGUGUGGAAUGU